GGUAAUUUAUAGAUUCAAUGCCUUCCCCAUCAAGCUACCAAGGACUUUCUUCACAGAAUUGGAAAAAACUACUUUAAAGUUCAUAUGGAACCAGAAAAGAGCCUGCAUUGCCAAGUCAAUCCUAAGCCAAAACAACAAAGCUGGAGGCAUCAUAUUUGAUUUUGGAAAAUUUGUCAAAUAUCAAUCGUUUAAAACAGUUGAUGUUACAAAACAGGAUCACAGGCCAUAGUAAAAUUAGUCAUUCAUUUAACCAAAGUGAUAACUCAAGUUUUAGGAAGGCAGUUUACUUUGAUUGACAUGUCCUACCAGGCCUGAAGACGAGGGUUUAAUUGCUGUCAGUGUUUAAGAUUUAGCAGGACUUGGUGUUCAUUUUAGACCCAGGAGUCAAAGCCUGGUAACUCAAUGUCACAAGGACUUAAAAAAAAAAAGAAAAGAAAAAGAAAAGAAAAGUCUCCUAUGGUUUUCUGAAAUUCUCACCAACCUCUGACUUAAGGUAUAUGGAUGUGCUUUGGUCAAGGAAUAUGCUGAAGAAGAUAUCCAGGCAUGCAUGACUCAGUGAGUUUGGUGCACAGUUUCAUACUUGACUCUGAGCCACUAUUGUCUGCAAAAGGUAUAAUUGCCCUGCUAAUGCUGUACAGGGGCGCUUGGGGCUCAGCUCAACAUGGCUUGGAAUUGCUGAGAGCUGUUGCUAAAUAAAAUCAUCUUUCACCUGCCUACGGCCCCCCGAGUAUUCUUUCUGUCCAUCCUUCUUUUCUUGAUCCUGUCUCAACUAUUCUUGAAAACACAAGCAGCAACACCUUCCAGCAAUCCUGAAGAGAUUACUCGGCAGCAAUUCAAGACAUAGGCAAUGAAUUGGAGCCAACUUAACGACUUAGGUAUGCUGAAUCUAAAAGUUAUCUGAAACUUUCCCAGCAAAGCAAGCAUUUUGAGAAGUUAAAUAACCUACACCUCCUAUU
rnacentral:lncRNA from 1 species